UUGACAGGCUGUUGCUGGUCUUUUUUGGCAUGUGCACGCCUGUCAUCUUUAUUUUCUCCAACUGUGCACAUAUUGUAGACCUGGAGUCGUCUNAUUUUGAUUCAAUCGAGUUGGCACUGCAGUGCUCACAAAAGUCUGCUUUGCCUUUUGCCUUUCCAGGUCUAUGUCACAACCUCAAAUGUGUUUAGAAUGUUGAAUCAACCUAUAAAGUUAAAUAUACAACUUUCAGCAACGGAUCUCUUGGCUCUCGCAUCGAUGAAGAACGCAGCGAAAUGCGAUAAGUAAUGUGAAUUGCAGAAUUCAGUGAAUCAUCGAAUCUUUGAACGCAUCUUGCGCUCCUUGGUAUUCUGAGGAGCAUGCCUGUUUGAGUGUCAUUUCAAGUUCUCAACUGCAUCGACUUCUUGUUGGUGUGGCUUGGAUGUGGGGGGAUUUUUUGCAGGCUUUCCUGUCAAAGGAGGUCGGCUCCCCUGAAAUAGAUUAGCAGUAUCUGAGCAGAAGAAACUACUACAGGCGUGAUAAUUAUCUACGUCUUUGGUAUUGCUGCAUGAACAGAUGGCACUGCUUCUAACAAGAGUGAGUUGGCUCACAUUUUGAUGAAUUUGACCUCAAAUCAGGUAGGACUACCCGCUGAACUUAAGCAUAUCAAUA
rnacentral:rRNA from 1 species